rnacentral:rRNA from 1 species
GCAAGUCGAGCGCGAAAGUGGCUUCGGCCACGAGUAGAGCGGCGAACGGGUGAGUAACACGUGGACAACCUGCCUGUGUUUGGGGGACAACUUCGGGAAACUUAAUCUAAUACCGCAUACGCUUAGCAAUUAGGAAAGGCCGCCUAUCCAUGGAAGCGGUCGCACACAGAGGGGUCCGCGGCUGAUUAGCUAGUUGGUGAGGUAACGGCCCACCAAGGCGACGAUCAGUAGCCGGCCUGAGAGGGGGAGC